GAUAGGAGUUUAUGUGAGUUGAUAGGAGUUGUUGAGAGUUGAUAGGAGUUUAUGUGAGUUGAUAGGAGUUGUUGAGAGUUGAUAGGAGUUGACGUGAAUAUCGCUUCGUCUCAAAGCCAGGUCAAAUGAGGUUGAAAGUUGAUGAGAGUUUGCAUGACAGUUUUCUCAACUCUCAAGCCCCGGUCAAACGAAAACGAUCUAGUUACAUGGAGGGGAAAUAGAAUCUGUUGCCGCCAAUUACAUGGAGGGGAAAUAGAAUUUGUUAUCGUGACAAUUACAUAGAGG